CUCACUGAAACCUCUGCCUCCCAGGUUCAGGCGAUUCUCCUGCUUCAGCCUCACGAGUAGCUGGGACUGCAGGCCCACCAAGCCUGGCUAGUUUUUGUAUUAUUAGUAGAGACGGGGUUUCACCAUGUUGGCCAGGCUAGGCUCGAACUCCUGGCCUCAAGUGCUGGGAUUACAGGUGUGAGCCACCACACCCAGUCCUACAGUUUGAUCAUUUUUAAGGUGCAAAUUCUAUUCAACUUCCCAUAUACAUGGGGUUUCACACUGGGACGGUGAGGCAGGGGAUCAGAGGUGGGGUUAAGUAUUGAAAUCAGCAUAUAAGGCAAGAAUAGUUGAUAAUCAACACUACUCUCUAAAACUCCUUAAAUCAGUGGUGCUACAGAGAUAGUACACUGCUAGAGGCAAUUUAGAAUAUUUUGUUGUGUGUUUUUGGUUAGCAUAGCCAAGGGAGGGGGUACCUUAGAUAUUCAUGAGCCACAGCUGGGGAUUUUAAGCAACCGUCAUUGGUCAUAAAGUCCAGAGAAAAGAAGGAUCCUCUCCGGUCCUUCAGCACUUCUGAAUGCCCUGCUAGACCUGCAUUGUGUGUGAAAACCUGCUCAAGAUUAUCUGAGGAUAGAUGCUCACAGCAUUUUACAAAUAAACACAAAAGUAUUUUUAGCAAUCUUAAUAAACCCUGAAUUUUUCUGGAAAUCAACUACUGUAUGAAUCAAAAGUUUGUAUUUUGCUCUGUAUGGAACUUUUAGCACAAAUCAUUCAUUGUUGUGGAAAAUCCUGACACCACCAGUUCUCAAUAUAACACACCUGAAUCUACUGGCAUUUGUAACUAUUGCAUUCUUAGUUUUCCUACAACUAUUUAUUAUUAAAGGGGAGUACUGUUCUGAUAAGGUUGGAAAUCACUGCCUUGAAUUUCUGUAAAUCACUGAAAUCUAUGCUGCUUGAAACCAAUGUGUAGGGACCAAGGGAAAACUU
rnacentral:lncRNA from 10 species